ACCGGCGGCUCGAGUGGUGGCCACUAUUACUGGGCUUAAAGCGUCCGUAGCUGGAUUGUUAAGUCUCUUGGGAAAUCCAUCGGCUCAACCGAUGGGCGUUCAGGAGAAACUGGCAAUCUAGGGACCGGGAGAGGUGAGUGGUACUCCAGGGGUAGGGGUGAAAUCCGAAGAGCCCUGGAGGAAGACCGGUGGCGAAGGCGUCCCACUGGAACAGCACCGACGGUGAGGUGCGAAAGCGUGGGGAGCAAACAG
rnacentral:rRNA from 1 species